GUGACAGUCCAGGGAAGGCAUAUGAGUUUCCUCUCCAGGGAGGCCUGAAUUGGACAGGAGGAAAGAGAAGCUGCUCAUCAAAUAUCUGUGACAUGGGCUGAACAUCAAGCUUGUCUUUCCCUCAAGGCAGCCCAGCAAUGGUAGGAGCAGCAGCUUCUGCAGCAGCAAGAACAACGAGGUGGCUGCAGGCUCCCAGCACUCUUCCCGUGGUGGUGGUGGUAAGCACCCCAGCGGCCUGGGCAGCAUGGCUCUCAUGACCUCUAGCUCUGGCAGUGACAGCCACAGAAGCAGGUGAACUUCAGACUUCCAGACUGCAGCACCAGUGAGAAUGCUAGCUCCUGGCUUCCUGCAGGGCCAUAGCGGUGGUUCUAGUAGUGGCAAGAGCAGGGGCUCCAACCGACUUAGCAAUGCAAUGCACUCAGGCUCUGGAUAGCACCAUUUUUCCCUUUGACCCUCCAGCCUAUGGGUGGCAGUGGCUUCCUGCAAUUAGAAGUCUUCGGGUAACCUCACCAUCUGUGUUUUGCUCCUCUAGCUCUUUAACACUUUUGUAUUCAAUCUGUCAUAUUAAAUUCUCUCUCUGGUAUACUAGAAUGGUUUUCUGUUUUCCCUGAAAUGUAAGAAGUGCUGUAUGUCACUUUCAAAGCAAAGCCUUUAGAAGCAGGUGUGCCUUCUCCACAUUCUUUCCCUUUUCCCUGGCUGGAGAACCUAAGGGAUGGUAGAAUGGCAAGGUAGAAGGGAUAUAGGUCCCCAAAUCCUUCAAGGAGGAGAACCACCCAUCAACCUGACACCAGCUCUGGACUCUAUGUAAACAAAAACUU